CCUACGGGUGGCUGCAGUGGGGAAUCUUGCGCAAUGGGCGAAAGCCUGACGCAGCAACGCCGCGUGCGGGAUGACGGCCUUCGGGUUGUAAACCGCUUUCAGCAGGGACGAAGAUGACGGUACCUGCAGAAGAAGCCCCGGCUAACUACGUGCCAGCAGCCGCGGUAAUACGUAGGGGGCGAGCGUUGUCCGGAUUUAUUGGGCGUAAAGAGCUCGUAGGCGGUUCCGUAAGUCAGGUGUGAAAAAUCUGGGCUCAACCCAGUGGAGCAACUGGGACUGCGGGGACUCGAGUCCGGUAGGGGAGUGUGGAAUUCCUGGUGUAGCGGUGAAAUGCGCAGAUAUCAGGAGGAACACCGACGGCGAAGGCAGCACUCUGGGCCGGUACUGACGCUGAGGAGCGAAAGCGUGGGGAGCGAACAGGAUUAGAUACCCUUGUAGUC
rnacentral:rRNA from 1 species